AUGAACGCUAGCGGCUGGAUAAGGCAUGCAAGUCGAGCGGUGAAGCUCACUUCGGUGAGUGGAUCAGCGGCGAACGGGUGAGUAACGCGUGAACAACUUGCCCUCGACACAGGGAUAGCCCCGGGAAACUGGAGUUAAUACCUGAUGAAGUACUGUUACGCAUGUAACGGCUACGAAAGAUUGAUUUCGGUCGAGGAGAGGUUCGCGUCCCAUUAGUUAGUUGGUAGGGUAACGGCUUACCAAGACGAAGAUGGGUAGCUGGUCUGAGAGGAUGAUCAGCCACACUGGGACUGAGACACGGCCCAGACUCCUACGGGAGGCUGCAGUCGAGAAUAUUCGGCAAUGGGCGAAAGCCUGACCGAGUGAUGCCGCGUGAAGGAUGAAGGCCUUCGGGUUGUAAACUUCUGUCAAGAGGGACGAAUAACUGACGGUACCUCUAGAGGAAGCCCCGGCUAAAUACGUGCCAGCAGCCGCGGUAAUACGUAUGGGGCGAGCGUUAUCCGGAAUUACUGGGCGUAAAGGGUUCGUAGGGGGUCUGCCAAGUCUGAUGUGAAAUCCCGUGGCUCAACCACGGACGUGCAUUGGAAACUGGUGGACUUGAGUGUGCGAGAGGAAAGCGGAAUUCCCGGUGUAGCGGUGGAAUGCGUAGAUAUCGGGAAGAACACCAGAGGCGAAAGCGGCUUUCUGGCGCACAACUGACCCUGAGGAACGAAAGCGUGGGUAGCGAACAGGAUUAGAUACCCUGGUAGUCCACGCCGUAAACUUUGUAUGCUCGAUGUGGGUGUCAUCCAGUGACAUCCGUGUCUAAGCUAACGGCCGUUAAAAGCAUACCCGCCCUGGGGACCUAACGGAUCGCAAGAUUAAACUCCAAGGAUUGACGGGGGCCGGCACAACCGGUGGAGGCGUUGUGCUUAAUUCGGAUGGCAACGCGAAGAACCUUACCCAGGUAUGACAUAUACUGGCCCGACUGUGAAAGCAGUUUUUUCUUUCGAGAACCAGUAUACCAGGGUACUGCAUGGCUGUCGUCAGCU
rnacentral:rRNA from 1 species